UACGUAGGGUGCAAGCGUUGUCCGGAAUUAUUGGGCGUAAAGAGCUCGUAGGCGGCUUGUCACGUCGGCUGUGAAAACCUGGGGCUCAACCCCGGGCCUGCAGCCGAUACGGGCAAGCUAGAAUUCGGUAGGGGAGACUGGAAUUCCUGGUGUAGCGGUGAAAUGCGCAGAUAUCAGGAAGAACACCCGUGGCUAAGGCGGCUCUCUAGUACGGUACUGACGCUGAGACGCGAAAGCGUGGGGAGCGAACAGG
rnacentral:rRNA from 1 species